CGGCACGGGUGAGUAACACGUAUCCAACUUGCCGUCUACUCUUGGACAGCCUUCUGAAAGGAAGAUUAAUACAAGAUGGCAUCAUGAGUUCACAUGUUCACAUGAUUAAAGGUAUUCCGGUAGACGAUGGGGAUGCGUUCCAUUAGAUAGUAGGCGGGGUAACGGCCCACCUAGUCUUCGAUGGAUAGGGGUUCUGAGAGGAAGGUCCCCCACAUUGGAACUGAGACACGGUCCAA
rnacentral:rRNA from 1 species